AGAGUUUGAUCCUGGCUCAGGACGAACGCUGGCGGCGCGCCUAACACAUGCAAGUCGAACGGAGCUUAGAGAGCUUGCUUUUUAAGCUUAGUGGCGAACGGGUGAGUAACGCGUGAGUAACCUGCCCUGGAGUGGGGGACAACAGUUGGAAACGACUGCUAAUACCGCAUAAGCCCACGGCCCGGCAUCGGGCUGAGGGAAAAGGAUUUAUUCGCUUCAGGAUGGACUCGCGUCCAAUUAGCUAGUUGGUGAGGUAACGGCCCACCAAGGCGACGAUUGGUAGCCGGACUGAGAGGUUGAACGGCCACAUUGGGACUGAGACACGGCCCAGACUCCUACGGGAGGCAGCAGUGGGGGAUAUUGCACAAUGGGGGAAACCCUGAUGCAGCGACGCCGCGUGGAGGAAGAAGGUUUUCGGAUUGUAAACUCCUGUCGUUAGGGACGAUAAUGACGGUACCUAACAAGAAAGCACCGGCUAACUACGUGCCAGCAGCCGCGGUAAAACGUAGGGUGCAAGCGUUGUCCGGAAUUACUGGGUGUAAAGGGAGCGCAGGCGGGAAGACAAGUUGGAAGUGAAAACCAUGGGCUCAACCCAUGAAUUGCUUUCAAAACUGUUUUUCUUGAGUAGUGCAGAGGUAGAUGGAAUUCCCGGUGUAGCGGUGGAAUGCGUAGAUAUCGGGAGGAACACCAGUGGCGAAGGCGGCCUACUGGGCACCAACUGACGCUGAGGCUCGAAAGUGUGGGUAGCAAACAGGAUUAGAUACCCUGGUAGUCCACACCGUAAACGAUGAUUACUAGGUGUUGGAGGAUUGACCCCUUCAGUGCCGCAGUUAACACAAUAAGUAAUCCACCUGGGGAGUACGACCGCAAGGUUGAAACUCAAAGGAAUUGACGGGGGCCCGCACAAGCAGUGGAGUAUGUGGUUUAAUUCGAAGCAACGCGAAGAACCUUACCAGGUCUUGACAUCCGAUGCAUAACACAGAGAUGUGUGAAAUCCUUCGGGACAUCGAGACAGGUGGUGCAUGGUUGUCGUCAGCUCGUGUCGUGAGAUGUUGGGUUAAGU
rnacentral:rRNA from 1 species